rnacentral:misc_RNA from 1 species
UCUCCGUUGGUGAACCAGCGGAGGGAUCAUUACAGAGUUGCAAAACUCCCAAACCAUUGUGAACGUUACCUAUCCCGUUGCUUCGGCGGGCGGCCCGGGCCCCGCGCCCGGGGCCCCCCGGCCCCCCGUGGGCGCCCGCCGGAGGUAAACCAAACCCUUGCAUUGCCUGGCCUCUCUGAGUCUUCUGUACUGAAUAAGUCAAAACUUUCAACAACGGAUCUCUUGGUUCUG